rnacentral:pre_miRNA from 1 species
UCCGAAACUACGGUCAACAACUCAGACGGUUUUUUUUCCGGUUGUAAGUUUAUCAAACUUAUAACCGGAAAAAAACCGUCUGAGUUGUUGACCGUAGUU